rnacentral:rRNA from 1 species
AUUGAACGCUGGCGGCAUGCUUUACACAUGCAAGUCGAACGGUAACAGGUUAAGCUGACGAGUGGCGAACGGGUGAGUAAUGCAUCGGAACGUGCCCGGUCGUGGGGGAUAACGCAGCGAAAGCUGCGCUAAUACCGCAUACGAUCUGAGGAUGAAAGCGGGGGACCGUAAGGCCUCGCGCGAUCGGAGCGGCCGAUGUCAGAUUAGGUAGUUGGUGGGGUAAAGGCUCACCAAGCCGACGAUCUGUAGCUGGUCUGAGAGGACGACCAGCCACACUGGGACUGAGACACGGCCCAGACUCCUACGGGAGGCAGCAGUGGGGAAUUUGGACAAUGGGCGCAAGCCUGAUCCAGCAAUGCCGCGUGCAGGAAGAAGGCCUUCGGUUGUAACUAGCUUUGUUACGGUAGCGAAAAGGACGUCUCUCUAAUACAGGGGUUCGAUGACGGUACCGUAACGGAAUAAAGACAACCGGCCGUAACUAACGUAGCCACGCAGCCGCGGUAAACG